AGAGUUUUGAUCAUGGCUCAGAUUGAACGCUGGCGGCAGGCUUAAUACAUGCAAGUCAAGGGGUCAGCAAUGGCACCGGCGGACGGGUGAGUAACGCGUACACAACCUACCUUUCAGAGGGGGAUAGCAUCUGGAAACGGGUGGUAAUACCGCAUAGUUUUGCGAGGUGGCAUCAUUUUGCAAAUAAAGCUACGGCGCUGAGAGAUGGGUGUGCGUAUGAUUAGGUAGUUGGUAGGGUAAAGGCCUACCAAGCCGACGAUCAUUAGGGGGUGUGAGAGCAUGGCCCCCCACACGGGUACUGAGACACGGACCCGACUCCUACGGGAGGCAGCAGUAAGGAAUAUUGGUCAAUGGACGGAAGUCUGAACCAGCCAUGCCGCGUGAAGGAAGAAGGCGCUCUGCGUUGUAAACUUCUUUUAUAUGGGAAGAAUAGGCGCGAUUUAUCGUGUUGUGACGGUACCAUAGGAAUAAGCACCGGCUAACUCCGUG
rnacentral:rRNA from 1 species